rnacentral:rRNA from 1 species
UGGCGAACGGGUGAGUAACACGUGGGUGAUCUGCCCUGCACUCUGGGAUAAGCCUGGGAAACUGGGUCUAAUACCGGAUAGGACCAUGCUUUAGUGUGUGUGGUGGAAAGUUUUCUCGGUGUAGGAUGAGCCCGCGGCCUAUCAGCUUGUUGGUGGGGUAAUGGCCUACCAAGGCGGCGACGGGUAGCCGGACUGAGAGGUUGGUCGGCCACAUUGGGACUGAGAUACGGCCCAG